rnacentral:rRNA from 1 species
UACGGAGGGUGCAAGCGUUAUCCGGAUUCACUGGGUUUAAAGGGUGCGUAGGUGGGCAGGUAAGUCAGUGGUGAAAUCCCCGAGCUUAACUCGGAAACUGCCGUUGAUACUAUUUGUCUUGAAUAUUGUGGAGGUAAGCGGAAUAUGUCAUGUAGCGGUGAAAUGCUUAGAUAUGACAUAGAACACCAAUUGCGAAGGCAGCUCACUACACGAAUAUUGACACUGAGGCACGAAAGCGUGGGGAUCAAACAGG